rnacentral:rRNA from 1 species
GAUGAACGCUAGCGGCAGGCCUAACACAUGCAAGUCGAGGGGCAGCACAGAAACAGCAAUGUUUUGGUGGCGACCGGCGGACGGGUGCGUAACGCGUCUGCAACCUACCUUUAACAGGGGGAUAACGGAGAGAAAUUUCCACUAAUACCCCAUAACAUCGAUCAAGGCAUCUUGAUUGGUUGAAAACUCCGGUGGUUAAAGCUGGGCAUGCGUUGUAUUAGGUAGUUGGUGAGGUAAUGGCUCACCAAGCCUACGAUACAUAGGGGGACUGAGAGGCUAGCCCACCACACUGGUACUGAGACACGGACCAGACUCCUACGGGAGGCAGCAGUGAGGAAGAUUGGUCAAUGGGGGCAACCCUGAACCAGCCAUGCCGCGUGCAGGAAGACGGCUCUAUGAGUUGUAAACUGCUUUUAAACAGGGAUAAAGCACAGUAUGUAUACUGUGUUGAAGGUACUGUAAGAAUAAGGAUCGGCUAACUCCGUGCCAGCCGCCGCCGUAA